ensembl:lncRNA
AGAAAAUAUCCUUUCUGUUCACGUCUUUUUUUUUUUUUUUCCCCCCCCAGAAAUUAACAGCCUACAAAUGAUAAUGAGCUCAGUGAAUAUUAUUAACACGAGUUACAACUGACUGACAAGUAAGUACAUAGCUGUCAUGUAAUCUAAUCAUGGUGUUAUAAUUCAAUUAACUAUUGAUUUUAAUUACCAAUAUGAUAUUCUAACUGUUGCAGGAAAACAUUCAAUAUCCGUAAAAUGAUAUGGAGUUUUUUUUUAACACAACAUAAAUCUGCCCCAGACAUUAUUGUACUCAGAUAUUGUGGAAUUGUUUGCAUUUUAUGUUUAAAAAAAAAAACACUGUUGAUUUUCAUAUAUUACUAGCUACAAGUUAUUCUGAUGUAUCUUCCAUUGAUCAAAACAAUUAGACUUAGAAAUAAAGACAGGGCUACUUACUGUUUAUUUAGCACCUAUGUAGCACCACUACUUUAUCAUUUGGCAUUUGUACAGUCAUUUGAACCUAUGCAAAAUGAAUGCAAAAUAGACAUGAAGCCUAUUUUCCAGAAUGUUUACUUAUCUGUCCCUUUAGACUACUGUAGAUCACUGCACAAAUGGCAAAGUGUGUUGCACUCAGGCAUGAAAAGAGGGUCAUUGAGUCCAACAGAAAAUAGUAGGAUGCACUGCCAGAUGCACUGCUACUUCAGUGAAUCCCAGGACUCUCUAACACUUCUCUUAUACUAGUGACUUGGGUAGGGAAAUGUGAGAGAAAAUUUCAUUCCCUGUUCUCAUCUAUGACUUUAUUCAUUUCACCUCUUUGGUCAAGAAGUUGGGCUGGUGGAAUCACAGAAUCACAGAAUCAUUAAGUUUGGAAAAGAUCUAUAAGGUCAUCAAGUCCAACCGUCAACCUAUCACUACAUGCCCACUAAGUGUGUCCCUCAGUGCCUCAUCUCCACGUUUCUUGAAGACCUCCAGGGAUAUUGACUCCACCACCUCCCUCAGCAGCCGGUGCCAAUGCCUCACCACUCUUUCUGAGAAGAAAUUUUUCCUAAUAUCCAACCUGAACCUUCCCUGUAGCAACUUGAGGGUAUUCCCUCUCCUAUCAUUAGUUGAGCAGGAGAAGAGGUUGAUUCCCACCUCACCACAAUCUUCUUUCAGGCAAUUGUUAAGAAUUUUUAAUACGCAUAUUUCUUUAAAAAGAAACAUGCCAGGCAACCCCAUGUUAUGUAAAAUAUGCACAUCAGAACUAAAGACUUUUUUAACCUAAAAGCAGGAGCUCAAUCAGCUGAGAUCUGAAAAGUGCAAAAAUGGUCAGUAGUUUUCUAAUUUAUGGUUUCAUAUUUAUGGUUUUACUGGAAACCAGAAAAUCUACUGGGAAUAUGAAUAGAAUCAUGGAAUUAAAGAAUCACCGAGGUUGGAUAAGACCUUCAAUAUCAUCCAGUCCAACUAUCCAUCAUGAGUAUUUCCCACUAAACGCUGUCCCUCAGUACAUCUAAAUGUUUCUUGAACACCUCCAGGGACAGUGACUCAACCACCUCCCUGGGCAGCCCAUUCCAGCACCUAGCCACUCUUUCAGAGAAGUUUCUCUUUACAUCCAAUCUGAAUCUCCCUUGGUGCAACUUGAGGCCAUUCCCUGUAGUCCUAUCACUUGUUAAAUGGGAGAAGAGGCCAAACCCCACCUCUCCACAGCCUGCCUUCAGGUAGUUGUACAGAGCUACAAGGUCUCUCCUAAGCUUCCUCUUUUCUAGACUAAAUUAUCCCAGUUCUCUCAGCUGCUCCCCAUAAGACUUGUGAUCCAUAUCCCUCACCAGUUUCACUGCCCUUCUCUGGACAUGUUUCAGGGUUUCAAUGUUUUUCUUGUAAUGAAGAGCCCCAAACUGAACACAGUGCUCAGGGUGCAGCCUCACCAGUGUGGUUCUCCUACCAGUGGUAGGAGGAAAGAAUUGAGAAGGUCAAUUACAAAUCAUAAAUAUUUUGAUCAUAAUUACUUAAUUAUAUGAUCUUGCUUUGCUUAUAGGUGAAAACCCUGGUGUGCAGGUAGAUUUUUAAGAACCAUGACAUUUUGGACUGGUACACAAAAAGCCCAAUUUUGGAUAUAGGUGCUUAAUUCCUACUUUUUGGAUGUUGUCCAUCAGUUAAGUCUGCAACAGUUAAGUCUGCAUCAGAUAGUAUAAUUCCUUGAGCCCUCCUACAGUAGUCUUUCAAACUAUUAAUCUUUGAAUCCUGUUUGAACUGUGUCAGGGACCAAAAGCUUUAGACACUUUCCUACAAGCUGCCGAUGCCCGUCUUGAGCUGCUUGGAUUUCAGACUGUGCUUUUAAAAUUGACUGUGUACCUUUUUUGCUUUAGUAUGGUAUUUAUCUAGUACUUUGAAUAUCCAUCAGACAUUGCUCUCUGAAUCUGGUUACACCAGAAACUUCAAAAUCUCAGGGUCUUUUACCUGACAGAUCUAUCAAUCAGUUAAAAUGACUGAGACUUGCUACCUUGCAUGCAUACCAGUUAUAUUAAGACCAAAAGGACUAGAAAAUAAAACAGGUAAUUCAAAGUAAGAGUCUUUUAUGACUAUCACACAUAAUUUACAUGUAUUGAAUACUGCAUUAGAAUGACUUGGUAAAAAGAAUUUUCAAUUGCAGAGAAUUACUUUUUAAUGUCAUUGUUUACCACACUUCUUUUUCCAAUAUGGCCCAAGCCCAGACAGUUUAUUUUGUCACUGGCAUUGCCAGAAGACACAGACGGCAAGUUAAAUUUAAUAAGCAAUCUGCCUACUUUUGGGAAAGUAAUGCAUUAUCUCACUCUCACAAAUGGAUACCUAUCACCAGCUCCUGUACAUAACCAUUUUAAUAUGAGUGACAUCCUGGCUGAAGAGCACUUCUCCUGUGUUGUCUUAGCAGAUAAGGUGUUCUUCAGAGUGACUCAGUUUUGUUCCAUUCUAAAUUCCUCUCUAGAGGAUAUAUCCUCAUAGCAAAUGAAAGUAGUACAGGUAAGGAAGCCUGUAGCCUUGGUGUUGUUAGUCUGACAGACACUGAAGAUUUGGUGAUGAGAGCCUGCUAUGGGCUGUAUAGAUCAUAUUCAGUGCCCCGUAUAGCACUCCGUGCCCUCAAGAGUGCCUUAUAGCUAUGAUCUCAGAUAGCACAUGCAAUUGCUUUACAGCACUAUUUUUCCCUAAGAAAACUGUAUAAAAGCAGCUGGUGUGUAUGUAGUUUUUACAGUCUUGCUCAAAGUUUCUCUGUAGAGUUUUUUACUGAUAUUGUCUAGUGUAAAUAGUCAUUCUUCAAUGGAGAAAGAAUGAGUAAGAAACAGAUGCAUUUCACCAUUCACAAGUUGACUUAUUUUUGUUAUGUAUGGAUACUCAGAUUUUGUAGUAAUAAUAAAAAAUAGUAAUAUAAAUGUAUUCUUUAACUCUUACUAUUCAUUUUAUUCAAUAUAUGCCUCUGAUCAGCAUUAUGUAAAAUAAUAGGGCAGGAUGGAAAAAAUAUGAAAGGUUCCUUUCAGCAUGGUGCAGAAGCACCUUUCCACCUAAUGAGAUGGCCCUGUAACAUUGCCAACUUGCAGUCACAACACAGUCAAAAUCAGCCUAGUUGUACAGAGAGACAAACCUUGUUUAAAUUCUACUUAAGAUUUAACUGCAACACAGAAUCAUUUUAAUUACGACAUUAGAACAAACCUUGAUGAAAUAGGGCUCUAUGGUUUCUAAUAAAGUUUAAUUUUUCUACUGGGGUUGAUUAAUAAAUUAAAAAUCACCCUUCUGAACUCUGAGAACUGCCACCUCACAACCAGCCAGAUCACCUUCACCUAAUCACCCUGCUCACCGGCUCUCUUGUAUGGAUUCACCUGAAGAAGAAAAGGCUCCAGGGAGACCCUUUCAGUAUCUAACUGGGGCUACAAUAAAGAAGGGGACAGAGUCUUUACCAGGGUCUGCUGUGAUAGGAAAAGGAGAAAUGAUUUAAAACUAAAAGACUAAAGUUUUUGACUAAGAUAUACUUCCAAAGUGCCCAAAGAAAGCAAGAGAGCAGCACCAGGCAGCACCAGGCACUACUGCAAAGACACACGUUAUUGUGCAGAUUUGAAAAACAAAGCUGACAAGCAGAGUUGCCUAAAUUGAGAGGGUUGGUGUUCACCCAGAGCUGCCACUAAUUCAAUGCAGAUCGUCUGUGUAAUAUGAGUGCUUAUUUUCAAAAGAAACAGGGUGGAAAAAGUGUGUGCAAUCCUCAGGAGAGUCUGAUUGCAAAAGGCAUGUUUGGAGCUGAUUAGCCUGUUUACCCUGCCAGUUUUCACACACAACGGAUAGGCAGUCUCAUGCAUUUCCCCAAGCAGAUUCUGGAAAAAAAGCUGAUGGAGAAAAUGAAAUCUGGCUUCAUUUCCAUUUCUCACUCCGUCCAUUGUUGCAAAGAGGGACAGUGCUUCAGCUGGAUAUCACAUCAAAAGCGGAGGGGGGGACAACUAAUUUUUGAUACAAUCUAUGUAGCAUAUCUGUGGUUCCUGAACUUACUCCAUCAUUUUGCCUUCCAAGGAUGAGAUUUGUUUAUCAGUUACUUCCUUUGUCUUCUACUUCUUGAUGUUGUGCUGGAAUGAGAUGUUGUUUGUUGUUUUGUUUGUUUGUUUUGUCACCAUUUUGUGUUACUUACAAGGUCUCUUCAAUAUCUGUGUACUUGCAGUAUAUUUAAUUUAAAGGCAAGAAUAGUAGUUUUCCUUUCUAAAUGGUUCCCAGUGCUUUGAAAUUCCUAAGUUACAACCUGUCUCAUGUCUCAGCCAAUCUAUAGUCUCUCCUCCAGCUUCAUAUUUUUACAUACUUGUACUUGUGCUGUCGUUGUUCUUUAACUGAAAGAGGUAUUUUUUUUCCCUUAUUUUUAAAUCACUAUUCCUUUUCCAUUUAAAACAUGAGUUUUUAUUUGCUCAGCCUAUCAUGUGGCCUCAGGGUUCCAAAGGUGAUGCAGAGAAAAAAUGUGUUGGUUCUGGAGGUUCCAUACUGUUUGAGCUGAUUUUCCUGAGGCUAACUACGACAGCUUUAGGACUUCAAGGUUUAGGAUCCUUAGGAUAGGUGAAAAUUUAUGUUCCUUUUCAUUAUUUUUUAAUUGCUAAAUAUUUGUAAUAGAAUUUCAUGAGUGGGACAUGUCUCACCAAAUUUAACCCGUCUAAACUAGUUUAAUAGAUUUUUGCUCUAAAUCAGAAAGGGAGAACUUUGAAUAGCAAUUUAACCCUCUUUUUCAUUCUCUCUCUGCUUUUCAUUGGGUCCUAGGAAGGCAAAUGUAAACUAAAUGAUAAACACAUAGGUACCUCCAAAAGCAAUGCCUCAUGUUUUCUUCCAUGGAAAAUGCAACAGAUACAAAGAGCAAAGUAACACUGCUUGGUAGAGAAACUUAUCAGCUACAAAACACUAUUUUUCAACAUACCACAAUUCGCUCUGCAUUUUUGCCAGUGAUGAACAAGAGCCUGCAUGCCACAUUCGUAUUUAUAAUUUUUUUUUCAAAAGCAAACUAUUCCAAGGCAAUUUCAGUGUGUACAAUAGUUUAGGACAAAGUAGCAGCCACAAAUUUCUUGUUGCCUGUCUAAUGCGUGAGUAUGUUCUCAGAACAGUAUUUACUUAGGCAUGAAAAGUAUCCUUCCUAGAAAUAGCACAAGUAUGCAAAAAAUGCCUUUCUCAACUUUUCACUCUAGAGGAGUCAUGCUAUUAAUAUUUCUAAGUUAUUUAUCUCUGUGAUAAUAUUUGGGGAAUAUCUAGCUUCUGACCAAAACUAUUUAGGAAAAGUCUGUAGUGUGGGUGGCACAGAGCCAUCCUGGUUAUACCCAAAACAUUUCAUUUGUAGGCUGCUGUUUGUACCAAAAAAUCUCUGUUUUCGAUUUCUGGUCUCAUGGAGAUCGGAUUAUGGGAUUAUUUAUGUCCCUCUGAAAGUGAUAUAAAGGACUAUUCUGAGUGAGGAGAUGUCUAUGUGUUACUACAAGUCACUAUGAAGUUGCUUUCACCAUGAAGGCAGUCGGGAAUGCUCAGCUUGGUACAGCAUAUUGGCACCUGAUUCAGGUUUACUGGGAAAAUUACUUUGAAUUCUGGGUCCUUUUCCUGAUCUCUGCAAUUAUGACAGGUGAAACCAGCAUAUGGUGUUCAGUCUUCCCAGAAAAGUUUUUUCUGUCUUCUGCUGAUGGAGCACCACUUCAUCUGUUGCACCAGUUGACUGACAAUAUGACAUCUGGAAUGAAGCAGCAUGAGGCAUGCAAAGGAAGGACGCAGACAUCUCCUGAUUCACGUGUCAUCUACGACGCAGCUGACUGCAUUGCAGGUCUUCUCCUGCUGCCAGUGGAAUUCAACCAUGAUGAGGAGGGACCACCCUCUAAUGGAGAAAAAUAGUAUUUCUUCUUUGGGCCUCAUUUGAAUAUUGGCUUUCAGCUUUGCCUUUGUAGCAUGGCUGCCGCGUGAUGCAGUGAAGCACAGACCACACAGUACCUUAGCACAGAAGGGGCAAUUUACAGACAGCUGGCCCAAAAAUGUGUCAGUUGCUUUCCAUUCCUACUGCUCCUGUGACCUUAAUCCUGUGGUGUAGAACCUCAUAUCUGAGUUUAGUUUUUAGUCAGUUUGCAUUUUAUACAUGUCAACAAGCAUUUUAGACAUGUAAAUCCUAACAUAGCAACAUAAAUGGACAUUUUCCCUCUGAGUCUCACCAAGGAAAGCAAUGUUCACAGCAGAGAGAAUUUGUAGCCAGGCAGUUGCAGCUCUCUGAGAGAUGUAUUUAUUAUAUAAGCUUACAUGCAUUUCUGGUUAGUGAUACAGAUGGAGAAAAAAAAGAAAAAAAAAGAAAAUUUAUCCCUCCUGAAGGCUGGCUCCACAUAGACAUAUCCCCAAAUGCAACAGAUAUUUCCCUCAGCAAUGCCAAAAUUUCAUUUCUCCAAGGAAUUUAUCUCAUCAUCUUGUUUUUGUUUUCUUUUUGUUCUUGUUGUUUGUUUGUAUUUUAUUGCUAUUGCUGUUAUUUCAGUUAAGGUAGUAAAUGAGAAAUGGCUGUUCAUGCAGUUCAAAGGGAUAUACAACAAGAAAUACUCGAAUGUUAAAAUCUUCUGUCAGAGAAGCUACUUGAAGAGCACAAUGUAUGAGUAUAUAGCACAGUGAAUAUUCAUUGCUGUUAGUUGUCUUCUAAUAAGCGCUGAAAAUACUUCUUAGCCAAUAGAAUCGACUCAUGUAUUUGGUGCUGAAAGACUCAAACCCAUCCAAGUCUGUAAGCAAAAUCUUAAGAGUACUGCUCCCUUCAGUUUAGGUUAAACUUAAAAGGUUAUAAAUUGUGUUUUCCAAACAGUGGGAAAUUUAGAUAUUCAUACCUGCAAAAGUCUGCAGAGGUAGUGUAAGGAAAGGUAAUAUUCAAACAAAAUUAGUGAAAGCAUUGUUAUCCAGCUUGUAAGAGGUAAUUGCAUUUCACCUCUCUAAAAUCUCCCUGAUUGCUUCAAUAGCAAAUAAAGGCUCUUUUCCUGAACUGCUGUAUUGUAAAUGCUGUUACACAUCAAAAAUAGCAGACCUUAAUGUAAAAUUCUCUAGUGGUUGCAUUGUUUUCUAAUUGAAAAUGAUUAUUAGAAGAAAGUGCAUGCAUCCAUAUGUACAUGUAUAUGUAUAUGUGACUGGGGUUUUUUUAGUGACCAG